rnacentral:siRNA from 1 species
CAUCCGAAACUCCUCGCCGCCGAC